rnacentral:rRNA from 1 species
CCUACGGGCGGCUGCAGUGAGGAAUAUUGGUCAAUGGGCGCGAGCCUGAACCAGCCAAGUAGCGUGAAGGAUGACUGCCCUACGGGUUGUAAACUUCUUUUAUAAAGGAAUAAAGUGAGGCACGUGUGCCUUUUUGUAUGUACUUUAUGAAUAAGGAUCGGCUAACUCCGUGCCAGCAGCCGCGGUAAUACGGAGGAUCCGAGCGUUAUCCGGAUUUAUUGGGGUUCAAGGGAGCGUAGAGGGGUUGUUAAGUCAGUGGGGAAAGUUUGCGGCUCAACCGUAAAAUUGCAAUUGAUACUGGCAGUCUUGAGUACAGUUGCGGUAGGCGGACUUCGUGUUGUAGCGG